AUACGGAGGAUCCGAGCGUUAUCCGGAUUUAUUGGGUUUAAAGGGUGCGCAGGCGGGAGAUUAAGUCGGCGGUGAAAUUUUGCAGCUCAACUGUAAAAGGGCCUUCGAAACUGGUUUCCUUGAGUGUAGAUGAAGUAGGCGGAAUUUGUGGUGUAGCGGUGAAAUGCAUAGAUAUCACGAGGAACUCCGAUUGCGCAGGCAGCUUACUAAACUACUACUGACGCUCAGGCACGAAGGCGUGGGGAUCAAACAGGAUUAGAUACCCUGGUAGUCCACGCAGUAAACGAUGAUUACUAGCUGUUUGCGAUACAAUGUAAGCGGCUGAGCGAAAGCGUUAAGUAAUCCACCUGGGGAGUACGUUCGCAAGAAUGAAACUCAAAUGAAUUGACGGGG
rnacentral:rRNA from 1 species